AAGGGAGACGCCAGGAAACUUGUGAAAAUCUAAUCAGCCACGCGAAGUAUGCUAUGCUGGCGUUUGGUGCCUGGCACAGAACGUGUGCCGUGGACCUGACCGUCGGUCAACUUUAGAAGAUGACUCGUCUUCCUGGCUGCAUGCACGGGCUGUCCUGUAAUGAGAAGAAAAUGCUGCCAGAGGCCGGGAGGAUGUGCUGUGCAGGUCAAAGCCCUGAGCCAGAAGUGAGAAAAGCUGCUCUUCAAAGUACAACCUCUGAGUUCCUGGAAUUCAGAAAAUGGUCACUGAAGAGGAAGGUCAAAGUUAGGAUUUCAGGUUUCAGAUGUAAUUCAUAUAUACUAUAGGGGAAAAGAAAAAAAUGGAGAAGGAGAAGGGAGAAGAAGAAGAGGAGGAGGAG